rfam:Trichobilharzia regenti genome assembly, scaffold: TRE_scaffold0013046
GUACUGAUGAAGAGUCCCAAACUAAGACGAAACAGCUGUCCAGUAU